rnacentral:pre_miRNA from 9 species
AGUCUUGAGGAAGCAUUUCCGCACACGCCACGCUAUCGAGACCAGCGUCUGGAAACGCGUCUGCUACAUU